AAAGGCUAGGAAAAGGAGGAGUCAAGAUUCACAGCCAGGUCUGUCUGGGUGCUAAGAUCCUGCUACAACCGCCUGUAUUUGUUUGCUAGGGCUGCCGCAGCAAACUACAACAAACUGAGUGGCUUACAAACAGGGAAACUUUUUUAUAUCACAGUUCUAGAGGCCAGAAGUCCAAAAUCAAAGUGCUGGCAGCACCAGGCUCCCUCUGAAAUCGCUUAGCAGAGAAUUUUUCUUUGCCUCUCCCAGUGUCUGGUGGCUCCAGGCAUUUCUUGACUCGUAGCUGUGUAACUUCAGUCUCUGCCACCUUCUUCACAAGGCCUUCUCCUCUGUGUCUCUGUGUGUUCUCUUUUGUGGCUAUGGAACACUUAUCAUUGGAUUUAGGACCCACCUGGGUUAUCCAGGAUGAUCUGGUCUACAGAUUCUUAACUUUAAGUUAGAAAAAAGGGGGUGGGGUAAGCACAGGCACAGAAAUAAUUAAUUAAUUAAUUAAUUAAUUAAAAGAAAAAACAAAGACACGUUUUCCAAAUAAAGUUGCAUUCACAGGUCUGGGGGUAGAAUAGGGACAUGUGUUUGGCAGCCACAAUUCAACCACUGCACCAUCAUAUCAUGUAAAACAACUAAUGGGCUUUUGAAAAUCAUUUUCAGCAAAGCCACUUAAAAUUAAAUCUGUAUUCUUAUAACAUUUUCAGAUUCUAAAACAAUGUUUUGUGCCAUAUGUAGAACUUUUAAUAUUUGAUGUUCCUGUCCCUUCAAGCUUUAAGCAGUGACACCUUCUGCAGCUCCUGUCUUCUAAACAGCCAUCCUGCAUGUCUUCACCUCAUCAACUCAUGAUCUCAUUUCAAAUCGCAUCUGGAAAUAUCCUCCCUCCACUCUGGUCCCUCCUUGGCUGCUUUCUUUGGCUUGACUUUCAUCAGCACUUGUGUCACGCAGUCCAAGGAUUCAGUGGGCACGCCUGGUCCAACAAGUAUUAUUUAAGAUGAGAGUUUCCUUAUCCAUCGAGUGGAAGGCUCCCAAAGCCUCUAACGUGUGUCCCAAAAGAGUCCACCCUCCUCCCCCAAGUCUCCACUCCACACUCCAGCCUUAGGAAGGAAACUUUCAAAUGAUGGCUUCUCUCUUUGGUUGAAAGAACGGAAUGAUCCAUUUUGCAACUCACCUGGUUGAGGAUGUAGUUUGGAAAUUUACCUACUUUGAAGACACGUGUCUGUGUGUCUGUGUGUGAAGGGUAAAAAGAUUUCUCAAAGCAAGCAGACAUUAGAGAGAAAUGUACAUAGUGCUCUUUUGCAAAAUAAAAUAUGUGAGCUGAGGGCCUCUAAUGCAUUAGGGUUAAUGACAUAUAUUUCAUAUGCCUGAUCUGAAAGAAUUGAAAAGGUGUCUUUUCUCUCCCAUGUAAAUAUGUCAGAGCCAUCGUUAUUAGUGUCUGACAUAUUUGCUAGUGCAGAUUUCCAGCAUCCCAAGUUCUAUAUCCCUUAGAUUUAAUUCUGAAGUUCUUAGAUUUGGCAUCCUGUAAAGAAAGGAGAUGAAUAUUAGAAAGUGAAAUUUUAAAACCCAUCCAAGGUUUCCUCUAAGUGUCUCAAUAUUGAAAUCAUCAAUAUCUGUUUGAAGUUUAAUUUUAAGAAACUAUUUCCUGCCUCCACAGACCUACAUAUUGAUGUUACUGCAUUGUUCUUCCCUCUUUUCCUACAAAAUUCUCGGAAACAUGUUUUUCUUCAGGCAAGGUAUGUAUUUGGCAGUCAUCAAGAAAUUUCCUCGGCCUUUCAUUUCUUUUUAUCAAGCUCUUCCUCAUAAAAUGUGGGUUCACAUUUUACUUUUUUUUUUUUCAGGGAGUAGAUGAAAACACCGAAUAGAUUAUUUCAGACGUACUUUCUCUCCCCUUCCCUAUGACCAGGAAAAGACAAAACGCUGCCUCUUCUUUCAUUUUUCUUCUUGGUAUAUUGAUGGAGCUGUCAUUAUGCCCUCAACACCUCAUCUGAAGUAAUAUGGGACAAUAAGAGGUAUUAUUGUAUGCCAGCUAUUAUUCUACCCAGGGGCGUUACUCUGUAACAGUGCAUAUUUGAGGUUUGAACAGGGAAAGAUAAAGGUGUGCAAGGGACUCGCAAAGAGGAGAGCUUUCCUGGGAUGGCGAAUCCUAGCCAACAGGUAACCAUGGCUCCAAAGGUGCCCCGCUUCCAUACUCAAAGACAGGGCACCUCCCGUGCUCCACCAAUAUAUUUCCCUGAGAUGUUCAUUCAUAAUGGAAGCUGCGAACUCCAUAGUUUAUUGAAAGUAGGACAGGAUAUUUUUCUAGUUCAGUUUUCUAGAUUAGCUCUCUGGCUCUCAUCUUCUCCCUGGAGGAAGCGAAUUCUCAUGCAGAAUCACAACUCUCUACAAGCAAGUUUACAUUCAGCCUCACUUCUUUCAGGGGCAGCCGCUUCCCAAGACUUCACAGUCAUCAUGUAGUUCAUCCAAGAGGUGAGUUUCCAGGGGGAAGGUGGAAUUCCCAGUUCUGUUUUUGUUAACUGCCUGGGUUUUUCUGCUCACAACCUAGCAACCUCUUUUACAGCAAGUCUCCUGUCUACAGCUCCAGCCACACCAAUCUGACCCUGCUAUGGCUAAGGACAAGGUGUGUGCAUGGGUAAUUUGGGAAUUCUGUGACUUGCUGGUGCAAGGAAGCAGAAAAAUGGGAAAGAGAAAGAAAGAGAUUAACUAUUCUCUGUUUCUCAACCAGACCAAGGUUUGCUCCUUAUGUUUUCACCACCCGAAAUGCCUUCGUCUUCUCCACCUGGGGAAGUCUUAUCACCCUUCAGGGAUGACCAACAAAUGUCUGUUGAGAGACUUAAUGAGAGUAAGAGGAGUAAGUCUCCAGUUUUUAGAGAACCUUGGAUGUUCAUGAAAAAAGACAGGAGGAUGUGGGUGGAUAAUUGCUGGCAGGAAAGGACAUGGUGUUGCGGCAGAAGGUUUCAUGUAAGCAUUUGUUACACGUGAGAGAUUCUGAGUUUUUCUGUGGGCAUCUCUGAGGAGAUACACAGAGAAAAGAAGACCAAGGCAGAGACUAAAGUGAUGCGUCUACAUGCCAAGGAACACCAAGGAUUCCCAGCAGCCUCCAGAAGCCGGGGGAGGCCUGGAACAGAGUGUCCCUCAGAGCCUUCAGAAGAAAUCAACCUCCACACCCCAAUUUCAGACUUCUGGCCUCCGAAACUAGGACAGAGUCAGUUUCUGUCGUUUUAAGCCACUAAGUUUGUAGAAAUCUGUUACAGUAGCCCUAGCAAACUCAUACAGAUUUUUGCCUAGAUGGUGAAGAAGUGUCUGGUUUAAUGAGUCCCAAAGGAUGUGGGGUCACUCAUAUGAGCCCUAACUGAUUUAAUAAAAAAUUUUGACACAUAUGUAUUGAAGACCUAUUAUGGACUAGUCUUCUCUAAAAGCAGUAUUCUCUUGCUGCUUUUAGUCAAAUGAAAGCUAUAGACCAAUAACCAUGCUAGUAGAUCACUAAUUCCAAUGGAGAUGAGUGCUCUGAAGGAAAGGAACGGGUUCUUAGAGAGUAUACAGUGAAGAAGGCCAACACUGAGUGAGGAGUCAGCAGGAUUUCUCCGAGGAAGUCACUGCAAAUGAUCAGGCUUCAGGGAGGCCCGGCCUGUAGCCCUUUUCUUUUUGCUAGGCAUUGCAUGUGACAGGGGUGCUUUUCCGGUCAAGGUCAAGGCACUUUUAUGUGCUUUGAAUAUUAUUAUGUCAGCUUCCUGCUACCAUGGUGAUUUACUAAACAAAGUCUGGGAUUUACUAGUCUGAGUAACAGGCGAUGGAAGCAGGUUCACUCUUUCAACCAGUAGAUCCAGUCUUCUGCAUCUGCCUCUUCCCUCAACGGCUGCCUUCCGGCAACCCCGAGAACAGAGUUGGACAGUCCAUCUCUGGGAGACCCUGUCCCAGAACAUCUAGACUCCCAGGCCUCCACCUUUUUUGCUCCUGUCAUACUCUAAUGCCUACUCCCUCCCCGUCAUCACACUUUCUCAUGUCUCUAUAUCUUUAUAAAUGCAAUUCCCACUUCCUGGAAUCUGAACCCUACGCCCUGACUCCUUGUAAUUUGACUCACUCCCACUCAUCCUUCAAGAUCAACUCAAGACUGCCUGGACUUUUUUCCAAGACUAGAUCCAGCACCUCUCUUGGGUGUCCACAGACCAUCCUGUACAGACCUCUAGUCUGAUGUUUUCACACUCUGGUAUCAAAGUUAAUAUUCUUGCUUAGACUCUGAGCAUCUUGAAACCAAGGUCUGUCUAUGUUCUUAAUUCCUAGCACAAAGUUUGGUACAUGUUGCUUAGUAUGUGUUGAAUGGAUAGAUGAAUGACUGAAUGAAUGAACUAAUGCCCUGUCUACUCAGAAGGAUAUGAUGAGAAUCAAGUGACAUAAGGGUGUGACUCCCUGCACUCUAUUAUUUGGGUGUUUGAUUUGGCUCCAUAAUAUAGUGGUGUGGCCAAGACUAUGCCCUCUAAACCUCCACCUCCAUCCCCAGGUACAGCCAGUAAAGAGAACUUUGCAAAUUCCUAUCUUGGAAUCACAAUGACAAACCCUCCAAGAUGGCAGGAGCCUCUGAGCACCUUGAGAGUCAAUCAAGAGAAGCUGGUCUCAGCAGACUCACCUCACUGCCAGGAGGUGGCUGCACACUCUCUGUAGGGUAUCUCACCUCAAACCACAGCUCUGCAAUCCUACAGUAUCUUUCACCAUCCCAUAUAGCGUUUGUUAAUUGAAUUCUGUAAUCUAAUUGCAUUUGCAUUUCUAAGCACACUUGUUUUCAUAGAAUGUACACUCUUUAGCUCCUGAAGAUUCUGACAAGUGCCUGUCCAGGCAGAUACGAGGUAGCGUUGCCCUCACUCUCAGACACUCCCCUGUCCAUUACUUAACCACGUGGAGUUGGAGUAGCCACUUUCCAUGAUUAUGAUCCAUUUUCUUCACCCUUGUUGGAGCUUUCACGAGAAUUAGCAGGAACUCUGCACACCCUCCUCCCUGUCACUACCUCACCACUUCACCAACAUGCCCCCAGGCUCCAGUUCCAUCCCAUCAAUGCCACUUCUGGCACAUAUGCCCAGUGGAUCCAUCCAGUGACAAUCACCUGCAUGCCAUUUUCCUGAAUGAAAGGAAUGAAAGCAUUUUCUACUCUAUCAUCAUUCCUUGACCUUCACCUGCUUUGGUUUUUAAAGCGUUUUUUCUUCUGCAUUAGCUGGAGUUCAUUAGAGAGCUGUCCAGCCUCCAUUCCUGGAGUUGGUCAUUGAUGGCCUUUUUUACUGUCUGCCACUGAAGGUUAAUCUGGUCAAAUGAUCUUCAGUGAAGAACAUUCAACAAAUCAGUGCUCAAAGGCAAGUGGGUGAAUCUUUGGAGGAGAGACUGGGGAAGACCAAUGAGAGGGGAGAAUUAGUGGUUAAAUCUACAGUAAGGUUUCAAAUUCUUUUUUCAAGUUUAGGGGAAGGAUUCCUCUGUUAAUUCAUUUAUUCAUUGUUACAGUCUGGGGAGACCUACAGCCUCCCAGAAAACAGCUAAAUUAGCCUCUUCUCUAAUGUAGGCCCAGGGCUCCAGCUCUAUCAGGGAUUCCAAAGUCCCUCAACACCACCCCUGGGCUUACCCUGGAGAGUAAUGUUUUCCAGGCAUUCACAUCCACCGAGACCUUAAAUAUGGUUCUUCUGGGAGAGGGCCAGGAGACGGAAUGGCCAUUAUCAGCAAUCUGCUCUCUGCAGAGUCUGAGCCAUGUGAACAAACAACCUCACACACUAGUGGGGAGAGAAGGGACUGGAAUGUUCACUCCUAUUUUCCUAAAAUAUCCAGUGAACCAUGAACCUAAACUCUACACCUGAGGCAAACUGGGAGUUGCUAUUUUAACAAAGCACAGCUUAGAAAACAAUCCACACAUGUUCUGUGACUUGGGCCAUCCCCAGAGAGAUUCCUGGCAGCAUUGCACGGGUGACUAAUAUUCACAGCCUCUCUGAGGGUGAAGGGUACGCUAUUCACCUGUCUGCCACCGUUCACUUCAACAUGCUUUGCCAUGUGGGAUCUGAGAGGAGUCUUUUUCUGGGAGUUUUAAAUAUCUUUUCAAUGGGGCUUUUAAGAUACUGUUGUCUGAUCUAGGCUCGCUCCACUUAGUCUAUUGGCAUAUCUCUUACAUGAGAGGACAAGAGAGUGAUGAAAAAUGAGACAGGAAAUGCACCCAUUUAUUUCGCAAACAUCUGUGGAACUCCUCCCUCUGUGUUGGGCCAUUGGGGAAUAUCAAGAUGACUCAGCCACAGUUGAAGGAGGGCAGAUAGGAAAACAAAUCAUUAAAAUAAUAUAGUCAAAUGCUGAAUAAGGUUUGUACCAAGGGCUGUGGGAACACAAAGAAGGGAUCAUUAAUUUUGUCAGAGGCAGUCAAGGAAGACUUUGUAGAGAGUGACCUCUGAGUUGUACCUUAACAGCUGUGUUGGAAAGUUCAGGUGAGAGAGGAAAGGAACGGUAUUCAAGACAGAGGGAACAGCAGCUGCAAAGAUGUGGAAGCUUGAAGACCCCUGAGAACUUUGCUGAGUUUGGGUCACAGGUUACACGGGAGCAAAUGGGGCAGAUAUCAUGGGUUGGGGUCAGAUAUGAAGGCAUGUGGUCAUGUUAAGGGGUCCAGACUUAAUUCAUUGGGCAAGUGAGAAACAACAGAGGACUUGGAGCAUAGGUGUGAAACAUCAGAUUUUAGAAAGAUGUAUCAGUAGAUAACCACUAUAUUUCAGGCUUUAGUGAUUCCUCACUUGGUCCAUGGUACAAGCCUCCAUGUCACACUUUGCUUGCUGCCUUGUAUAUCUGCUGAGCUAAGGCAUUUUUUCGUAACCUUAUGUUAAAAGGGUCAUUAUUCUCACUGUACAGUUGGCAAAAGAGAAUCUCAGGGAGCUUAAAAACAAUACCCUUUGGCAAAGCCAAGAUUCACACCGAAGUCUGUUGGAUCGCCAAGUCUGUGUUUCAUUAUACUGAAUUAGAAGAUAAUAGCAACGAGAAAGAAAAAGAUGGUGAUUUGCAGCUCCAGCUGCACAUUAGUUUCUCCUUGGGAGCUUUUUAAAAUCAUGAUGUCUAGGCUGCGCCCUAGACUGAUUAAACCAGAAUAUGUAGCAGUGGAACCCAGACAUCGAGAUUUGCUUAAAGCUCCUCAGGCGACUUUAGUGUGCAGCCAAGUUUGAGAAUCAAUAAGAGAUGUUGCAAAGGAAGACUUGGUAAUAAUUGGCUAGCAAAUGGGAAGACUGAGAGAGAAGGAGGAAAGAGGUGACUUUAAGAUUUUUAACUCAGAUGAAGGCAGAAAGGGAUGUGAGUGGGGAAAUGAGGAGUUCAUUCUCAUAGUCAUUUACUUUGCCAUCAUAGUGUGACAUCCAGGUGGAAAUACCCAAUAGAUGCCUUGGCAAAGUGAGCCAGGGGCUUCAGAGGAGUCAAGGCUAUAGUAAGGCCAACACCUCAUCCAGUGGUAUGCUGGCGGCAGCUCACACCAGCUCCAGGGAGGUAACUAUUAAAUGUUCUGAAAUUUUGUAAGCCAGUUGUUAACACAGCCAUUAAUAAAAAUUAAAUCAAAAGAAUUAAAUGAAUUAAAUAAAUUAUAUUUUUGAAA